GGGUCAGUAGGUUGGUCGUGCCACCGGUACGUACUGGUCUCACUGAUUCCUCCUUCCUGAAGAACCGUAAUGCCAUUAAUUUGGUGUUGUGGGGAAACAGGACUGUUACUUUGAAAAAAUUAGAGUGUUUAAAGCAAGCUAACGCUUGAAUACAUUAGCAUGGAAUAAUGAAAUAGGACGAUCGAUCCUAUUUUGUUGGUUUCUAAGAUUGACGUA
rnacentral:rRNA from 1 species